GUCAUUGGACGUUCCAGUAGAAACAACGGACGGAGGAAUGUGAGCUAUGCAGCUCUCUGAUUGGUUAGAGAGAGAGCGCGUCACCAGAGUUACUUACGCUCUAGUGUCUUGUUGCGCUGCAGAGUACAGGCUGUUGUUCCUGCACGUGGCGUGUUAUUCACACUUGUAAAAUCUCCAGCUGUGACAUAUGAAGAAUAAGAAGUGACAGUAGAGCGACACAGAGUCUUUAUCCUCACAGUGCAGCGGUGGAUUCAGCCUGUUUAAGCAGGAGGAUCAGUGAGUCCUGAGGCUGUGCUACCAACCAGGAUUUCAUCUGAUCCAGAACCUUAAAUGUGUGAAGAAAUCACCUAAGACACAGAGAUGCCCACAUUUCUGCUACUGUUAGCACUUUGUGCUCUCAUCUAACAAGUGAUAUCCUGUCAUAUCAGUCGACUCAGCUUCUCUUUUAAACUAUGUAACACUCAUGAAUUUGGGAUCUGCAGGACAACCUGAGAUGGAUACUUGCAAAUCUGUGAUAUUCUGCUGGAUUCUGCAUGUCUGCUUUUCCCCGGCUGCAUAUACAGGUGAGACCAGCAGGUAUCACUGCUGGGAAUUGAAUUGCUUUCAUUGUCACUUUAUAUAUAUAUACAAUUUAAAUUAUUACAUUCAAAAUAAUUAUAAAGCUCAUUUACACCACGUUCACAUGUAUCAGCAGCACAUUUGGUCUGCUGAUAGGAGGGACAGAGGGAAGUACUGAAUAGUUGUUGCUGAGCAGUGAUGUUUCAUGGGAUGAUGACACAGCAGACUUUUCCCAUAGUUACUCACACACAUAUUAUGUGAAAAUUGUAAAGACUGACCAAAAGGUAACAAAAAUAGUGCCAAUAAUCUUGAUGAUGAUAGAAAUAAGAGACAGGUUUGUAUAAUAAUUCAGAGGCUGUCCACCUUCAUAGUAAUCAGAUAACGAGUCAACCAUUUAAAGUGAUCAGUGUUUGCCGUCCUGUAGCUGUGAGCUCAUCUCCUGGUAAAGAUGACGAAGAUGAUGCUCAGUGUGGUGAAAGCUUUCAUCAGAGCUCUGAUCUUUGAUCUUCGCUGAUCCUGGUUUCUUCUGUGUGUAACCUGAACGAGGGACAAGUGCUGCCAACACAGCAUUAAUGUGUGCUGUUUAAGUUGGUAUUGUUUAUGACAGCAUUUUAUAAUGACUGUAAGUGCAUUUAUCAUUUUCCACACACAUCCACAGCUCCAGCAGACUGUGAACACUAGUUGUUGAUAUAGAUAUAGAUUAGAUAUAGAUAUAUAGAUAUAAAUUUGUUAUUCCCAGAAGUUUGCAGCUCUAAUGUGGAUAAAAUUCCUCUCAGGUGAAAAUAGUGGACACAUAUUAGCAUUAAGGGCGUGUCUUACAUGUAAUUAAUCAGUUUGUAUAGUUAUGGUAGUGAAUCUACAGGGAGUGCAGAAUUAUUAGACAAGUUGUAUUUUUGAGGAAUAAUG